rnacentral:rRNA from 1 species
UACGGAGGGUGCAAGCGUUAUCCGGAAUCACUGGGCGUAAAGCGUCUGUAGGUGGUUUACUAAGUCCACUGUUAAAGAUUGAAGCUUAACUUCAAAAAUGCCGUGGAAACUUUUAAACUUGAGUAUGAUAGGGGUAGAGGGAAUUUCCAGUGGAGCGGUGAAAUGCGUAGAUAUUGGAAAGACCACCAAUGGCGAAGGCACUCUACUGGGCCAGUACUGACACUGAGAGACGAAAGCUAGGGGAGCAAAUGGG